AACGAACGCUGGCGGCAUGCCUAACACAUGCAAGUCGAACGAGACCUUCGGGUCUAGUGGCGCACGGGUGCGUAACGCGUGGGAACCUGCCCUUAGGUUCGGAAUAACUCCCCGAAAGGGGUGCUAAUACCGGAUCAUGUCUUCGGACCAAAGAUUUAUCGCCUUUGGAUGGGCCCGCGUUGGAUUAGCUAGUUGGUAGGGUAAAAGCCUACCAAGGCGACGAUCCAUAGCUGGUCUGAGAGGAUGAUCAGCCACACUGGGACUGAGACACGGCCCAGACUCCUACGGGAGGCAGCAGUGGGGAAUAUUGGACAAUGGGCGAAAGCCUGAUCCAGCAAUGCCGCGUGAGUGAUGAAGGCCUUAGGGUUGUAAAGCUCUUUUACCCGGGAUGAUAAUGACAGUACCGGGAGAAUAAGCUCCGGCUAACUCCGUG
rnacentral:rRNA from 1 species